AGUGAACGCUGGCAGCGUGCUUAACACAUGCAAGUCGAACGAGAACGGGUUAUAGCUUGCUAUAAUUGUCAGCUAAGUGGCGCACGGGUGAGUAAUGUAUAGGUAAUAUGCCACUUACUAAGGGAUAACAAAUGGAAACGUUUGCUAAUACCUUAUACUCCUUAUUAACAGAAGUUAAUAAGGGAAAGAUUUAUUGGUAAGAGAUUAGCCUGUAUUGUAUCAGUUAGUUGGUGGGGUAAUGGCUUACCAAGACUAUGACACAUAACUGGUUUGAGAGGAUGAUCAGUCACACUGGAACUGAGACACGGUCCAGACUCCUACGGGAGGUAGCAGUGGGGAAUAUUGCACAAUGGACGAAAGUCUGAUGCAGCAACGCCGCGUGGAGGAUGACACAUUUCGGUGCGUAAACUCCUUUUAUAUGAGAAGAUAAUGACGGUAUUAUAUGAAUAAGCACCGGCUAACUCCGUGCCAGCCGCCGCCGUAA
rnacentral:rRNA from 1 species